rnacentral:lncRNA from 1 species
GCUCUGCUUCUUACACCAGCCUGAUUGCCUGGCCUGAAGAGGAGAGGUCAGAGAGUCUCUGGCUUGGCAGGAAUACUGCUCCUGUUACUAGCACUAGUGACCACAAGAUUACACAUCUCUCAACUGAUUGAUGAGCUUCCGGGGGAAGGAGUAUAAGCCACUUGGAUGGGACAAAGGACCGCUCAUCCUGCCUCCUCAGGGCCUCAGAAUUCAGGAAAAGGAGGAACUGACAGCAUUUGAGACCGGAGAGGCCGAGGCACUGAGUGCUAGGUGGCACAAGGGGCAAGACUAGAAUUCAAGGCCUCUGAUGCCCAAGACUUCCCAACAUUGUCUUCUCCCGCGUUCCCUCCAGGACCACCGCCUCCUUCUGGGCGGGGUCUUGGGCUGCUGUCUGCGCUGAGUGUCCAGCUCUCUCCUUGGGUCGCACUCACGAUCUUCCCGCAGAGACGGCCACACUGCGAUCUUGCAUGCAGCCAGCAGGGGUCAGCAUUGCCCGCACCAAGGGUCGUCCAGCUGCGGCGGGCGA